UUUAAAUUGAGAGUUUGAUCCUGGCUCAGGAUGAACGCUGGCGGCGUGCUUAACACAUGCAAGUCGAGCGAUGAA
rnacentral:rRNA from 1 species